CCCAGACACGAUGAAACAAGCUUUCGAUGAUUUAAUAAGGCCUUACAGACCUUGAGAGGGACAUGCUGCAAGCAAAGUUAGACUCAGACUGAGGGCAAAACUGGAUGGCAAUGGCAUUGCCCUGAGGACAAGGAGCACAGCUUGCCUGGAUUCAAUCAUGCAUCCACUUUGGUCUCCAGGGAGUCUUUCUGAAGGAGGCUACAAUAAACGAGACUCCAGGCUCAGGUAGAAGAGGAGGUGGACAAUAAGCCUGGAGUCCCAGACCCUCACUCACCCUAUCCUGAUGUCCCUACUACCAUGAGUGACUGUUUCCCGACCGGUGAAGGUUGAAAAGCAAAGAUAAACCUAGAGAGGAAAGACAUGCCCGGUUCCCCUUAGGCUACGGCGUCCCCGGCUCCUCUAUCCAGACCUCACCCAUCAGGCAGGUGCCCCCGCACCGCCACCUGCUCGCGGCUUCCAGUCUCGCCGGCCUCGGCGUGCUAAGCCCUGUACACCUGCACCUCCCAGGGCUGCCCGCCAGAGCGCGCUGUUGGACAGCGCGAGGAGCCUCGCUAGGGAGAGCGAGCGGCAAGGUCAGGGCCGCCGGCCGGGGCACCCGGGGCUGCUGGGGAGGGCGGAAGGAAGAGGCCGGGGGCUGGAGCGUGGAAGACCCUCGGGAACUCCUGUGUCUUGCUAGAGCCUGGACGUGGUCCAGCCAGGUCUCGGAGGUGCACGGACUUCGGCCUCCCUCCCUUCAGCUGGAGGCGGACAUUGUGCGAGCUGCGCCAAGGGGGCCAGGAGCGCUAAUACGUACGCCUCGGCGGGAGUUCGGCCAAAUGUCCGCGCCCAGCUCGCCCGAGGUCCUGGCCUGGCGUCGGAGUCGUGCGCCCUCGGUGGCAGCGGCGGGUCCCCACCCCCUUCCUUGGCUUGCUCUGGCCUCCACCCAGAGCGCUUCCUCUGUCCCCUGCGCCGCGGUCCAGGGGCUUAGGGUGCCCCCCUGGAGUCCCGCUCCCGAAAGUGUGCACAAGACCAGAGGCCUGAGUGACCUCAAGAAGCCCCCAGAGCUGGGCGUCAGUGUUAGCCCUGGACUCAGGGACUCGUUAAUCCCAGAGCAGGACACACGGGCUCUGAGCGGGACCCAGGGAACCUGCAGGUGUCGGGAAGAGGUGGGGGAACAGCCACCAUCGCUCCCGGGCGCGCACGGCCCUCGGAGCUUCGAGGUUCUUCCGAGAGUGCAGGCCCCACGCUCGGCCUUUCUAGGGCUCACUCGACUCAGAGACAGUCUCCUUAUCCGGCUGCAGGGCGUUGGCCGUGCGCAGCACAGCUAAGCUGCCUGCGAGUUUCUAGCUCUCCACCUGUUUGCCUGGGGCCUGAGGCAGAAGAGGAUGAGGCCUGGGGGCGGCCUGAG
rnacentral:lncRNA from 1 species